rnacentral:rRNA from 1 species
UACGGAGGAUGCAAGCGUUAUCCGGAAUGAUUGGGCGUAAAGGGUGCGCAGGCGGACUGGUAAGUCAGUGGUGAAAUCUUGUCGCUUAACGACGAAACUGCCUUUGAUACUAUCAGUCUUGAAUCCGGUAGAGAUCUGUGGAAUUCCGAGUGUAGCAGUGAAAUGUGUAGAUAUUCGGAAGAACACCAGUGGCGAAGGCAGCAGAUUGGGCCGGUAUUGACGCUCAGGCACGAAAGCAUGGGGAUCAAACAGG